UAGGGAAUCUUGGACAAUGGGGGAAACCCUGAUCCAGCCAUGCCGCGUGAGUGAUGAAGGCCUUCGGGUUGUAAAACUCUUUCGCGCACGACGAUAAUGACGGUAGUGCGAGAAGAAGCUCCGGCUAACUUCGUGCCAGCAGCCGCGGUAAUACGAAGGGGGCUAGCGUUGUUCGGAAUUACUGGGCGUAAAGCGCGCGCAGGCGGCUUUUCAAGUCAGGGGUGAAAGCCCGGAGCUCAACUCCGGAACUGCCUCUGAGACUGUAAAGCUUGAGUACGGGAGAGGUGAGUGGAAUUCCGAGUGUAGAGGUGAAAUUCGUAGAUAUUCGGAAGAACACCGGUGGCGAAGGCGGCUCACUGGCCCGUUACUGACGCUCAGGCGCGACAGCGUGGGGAGCAAACAGGAUUAGAUACCCCCGUAGUCC
rnacentral:rRNA from 1 species